AUGGAAAAGGGAAGAUUGUGCAGCAGUCCUGUAUGCCAGAUAAGUCCUAGAGAAGAAAAUGGGACCUCAUGGAACAGAAACACCCACAGGAUUUGCUCUGUUCUCUUACAACCAAGAGGAAAAUGCAUGAAGAAGAAUUCAAGUGACUUUCGGCUUCUAUAUUCGUGGUACUUCCUUUCAUUAAUGGGUACACACAGACACAAUGGCCUGUUGCUGGAAGGGCGAGAGCAUUGAAAAGAACAUAAAUAGGAAGGUAACAUCCCGAGUUGACAGUGUCCAUUAAUUAAUUAAGAGAAGGUUAAGUCAUUUCUGAAUAGGCUUAGUGUCAAGCUCAUACUUCCCUCAGUCUCUGGCAGCAUUUACAGCAUGUUGUUGAUAAUACAGCUCAAGGUCUCACUGACUUUGACAACUCUGCAAGGAUAUUUUGGAAGGAUUUGGUGGUUUUGAAUAGUUCAUUUCAGUAACCCAUAAAGAAACACUUUCCUUCAACACAAGCAUGAGUGGUUAUUUCUGUGCUUAAUAACGCC
rnacentral:lncRNA from 1 species